rnacentral:rRNA from 1 species
UACGGAGGGGACUAGCGUUGUUCGGAAUUACUGGGCGUAAAAGCGCACGUAGGCGGAUUUGUAAGUCAGGGGUGAAAUCCCGAGGCUCAACCUCGGAACUGCCUUUUGAUACUGCAAAUCUCGAGUCCGGAAGAGGUGAGUGGAAUUCCUAGUGUAGAGGUGAAAAUUCGUAGAUAUUAGGAAGAACACCAGUGGCGAAGGCGGCUCACUGGUCCGAUACUGACGCUGAGGUGCGAAAGCGUGGGGAGCAAACAGG